UGAAAAGUUGACACAAGACGCACGAGGGACAAAAGGCAGUCCCAGAAUACCUCAACAUUUGGAUUGACCAGAUUUGUAUCAACAUGGGCAAUAAUUCAGGGUAAGGGGACACAAACAAACGUGAUAAACAGGAUGCUGG